GAUGAAGAACGUAGCGAAAUGCGAUAAGUAAUGUGAAUUGCAGAAUUCAGUGAAUCAUCGAAUCUUUGAACGCACAUUGCGCCCGUCAGUAUUCUGGCGGGCAUGCCUGUUCGAGCGUCAUUACGCCCCUCAAGUCCCCUGUGGACUUGGUGUUGGGGAUCGGCGAGGCUGGUUUUCCAGCACAGCCGUCCCUUAAAUUAAUUGGCGGUCUCGCCGUGGCCUCCUCUGCGCAGUUGUAAAACACUCGCAACAGGAGCCCGGCGCGGUCCACUGCCGUAAAACCCCCCAACUUUUUAUAGUUGACCUCGAAUCAGGUAGGACUACCCGCUGAACUUAAGCAUAUCAAUAAGCGGAGGA
rnacentral:misc_RNA from 1 species